rnacentral:lncRNA from 1 species
CCCUUUAAACCACAUGAUUAGUGCAUGCUUCGAUUUUCCAAUCACAUCUCAUAAUCCGAAACCAAUAUCAAACACAACACAAACAACGAAGAUUCAAACCAAACACAUAACAAAUAAAUCAUCCACACCAACAACAUCAAUAAAAAGUCAAAAUAAAUCAAAGAUUCGGUUAGAAGAAAUGGAACUUGAUGAAACUAAUCCUUGUCGAUAGUAAAGAAAUUCGAAAACCAAAAUACUCAAUCGGAGAACCUCACAACGAACAACUCCAAACUCGAUAUUGAAUUCAAC